AUGGCACCGUCGUUCUGGGGCCCCGAGUUCCCCCCGCAGCCGGCGGCGGUGUUCGACGACCUCGCACCCGUGGAGGCGGAGGAGGAGGAGGAGGACGCGUACGAGGACGAGAUGGAGGAGGAGGAGGAGGAUGAGCACGGCAGCGACGGGGAGGUCGUCCCGAUGGACACCGAGGACUCGGGCGAGGAGCUCGUCUACUCCGGCUGCGGCUGCAACAUGCUCACCCUGUCCUUCCCGGGCGCUGUGCACAUCUUCAUGUCUGCCUCCCCUGACAAGGUGUCGCAGGUGGAAGCUGCACUUUCGCUGCAGGGGCGAUUGGAUCCGGCGGACUCUACGACUGCACCGCCCACCUCGCGCAACACGCUCACCAUGACCUUCCGGGGCGAGGAGUGCAAUUUCGACUCUGUAACCCCUGAUGAGGUGCAAGAUGUGCUUUUGUCGCUCGCGGGAAGGGAGCUGAUGGUCCCUAGGAUUGAGCUCAUAAUGGGGUUCCCGAACUGGAGCUACGAAUUCGACUCUGUAUCCCCUGAUAAGUUGCAAGCUGUACUUUCGCUGCUGGGGGGAAUGAAGCUGACGGUCUAUACGGCUGUGCCAUGUGCCUUGCACGACCAGCUCACUGAACCCUUGAUGUGUUGGAUCGACGUGUUGCACCCUGCACUCCCUGAUAAGGUGGAAGCUUUACUUUCGCUGCUCCAGGGAAACGAGCUCAACCCAGGCAUUGGUGGUGGAGCAUCACCAUCAAUUCCAUACAGACUAUUUUUACAGUCCAUAAACAAUGUUUGGUAA
rnacentral:rRNA from 1 species